UAAAGUUUUAUUUUUGCUUUUUGUUAGGUGAUUCUAUUCAUGUAUAUACAUAUUAAUAGUAGGUUAAUUAGGUUUUAGUAUUACUUAAUUUUAUUAAAAAUUUUUGAAAAUGUAAAGGAGAUAGAAAUAUAAAAUGGCAAAAAUUGUGCCAGCAGCUGCGGUUACACAAUUAUUUUUUUUUAACAAUAUUUGGAUUUUAAAAUUUUGAUUUUUGUUAUAAGAGUUAUUUAUUUUAAGUGAAAUUUAGUAGAUAAAUAAGAUUUAUUGGUAUAAAAUUAAAGAAAUUAAAGUGUCAAACCAGGAUUAGAUACCCUGUUAUGAUUUUAAAAAAGUGGAAUUUAGGGUAGUAAUUGUUAAGAUCAGGAAACCCAAAAAAUUUGGCGGUAUUUAUUCUAAACAGAGGAAUAUGUUUUUAAUCGAUAAUACACGUUUAUUCUACUUGGUUUAUUUUAUUUUGUAUAUCUCCGUCUUAAAAAAUUUUUUAGAAAUAAAUUUUUUAAUUUUUUUAAAAAAAGUCAGGUCAAGGUGCAGAUUAUAACCAAGAAAAAAUGUAUUACAAUAAAAUUAUUUAUGGAAGUUUAAUGAAAAAUGAUGAAAAUUGGAUUUGUUAGUAAAUUAAAUUAAAUAAAAUUUAAUUGAAAAAGUUAAUAAGUAUGUACAUAUUGCCCGUCAUUCUCUUGCGAGACAAGUCGUAACAAAGUAGAUUUACUGGAAAGUGAAUCUGGAAUCAA
rnacentral:ncRNA from 1 species